UCGGAGUUCCUGAUUGCCAGAUAUCGAUCCACAUUUCAAUUGAUCACAAUUGGAAUGACUUUGUAUCUACGUCACCCGACCAGCGAGAUGCAAAUACAAUGUGUCGGUUGGAGAUCCUUCAGGAUCAUCCUGCUAUAACGAGGUUAUGGCGUAAUGAGAGGAGCAGAAUGCAGCACGGC